rnacentral:rRNA from 1 species
AACGCGAAGAACCUUACCUGGUCUUGACAUCCACGGAAGUUUUCAGAGAUGAGAAUGUGCCUUCGGGAACCGUGAGACAGGUGCUGCAUGGCUGUCGUCAGCUCGUGUUGUGAAAUGUUGGGUUAAGUCCCGCAACGAGCGCAACCCUUAUCCUUUGUUGCCAGCGGUCCGGCCGGGAACUCAAAGGAGACUGCCAGUGAUAAACUGGAGGAAGGUGGGGAUGACGUCAAGUCAUCAUGGCCCUUACGACCAGGGCUACACACGUGCUACAAUGGCGCAUACAUAGAGAAGCGACCUCGCGAGAGCAAGCAGACCUCAUAAAGUGCGUAGUAGUCCGGAUUGGAGUCUGCAACU